AUGGGAGGGUGUCACCCUAGUUCUGUCUGCCCCAUCCUGUUAGCCGUCUCCCGGGGGAGGCAAAGCCACCCCAUCCUUCAGGGGAGCUGGGUGCCCUGCGGCAGGACGCAGUUAGCUUCAGCCACAUCUCGAAUUUACAGAGAGCACUCUGAGAUUUUGGUUCAACUUCUGCAUAGCAGCCUCUACCACGAGGAGCUGGUGGGGGAAGGAGAAGCGUCGGCACGUCAGGCCUGUCGGACAGAGCUGAGGGUGCUGGAAAAGGCAGCACUAGAGAAGAGAGACUAGGGACUCCUGCUUGUCCAAGAGCUGAAGCAGCUGGGCUAGAGGAAUGGCUCAGACUACAACCUUCUGUAGGACAGAGGCAGGGAAAGGAGGGAACACAGGGACUCCCUGCCCCCUGCCUCCCUCCACAAAGACACGGUUUUCCUCUUACUGGCUGGAGAAGCUCGGGCACAGCUCCCUCAGAGCAAGCCAUGGCAGGGCCCAGGCACAAGCAGCCCAGAGUACAGAGCACGGAUCACCCUCUCCAGCCCAUACAAUGGAGGCCUCGGGGAGGGCUUGACACACAGCACUGUCAGCCCCCUCGCUUUCAGUUCCCCUGUUCCAGCAGAGCAGAAGCCUGACUCACCGCCGCUGCAGCCAGGGGCUGCUGCUAGGCUGUGGCAAAAGCCUUGGGGCCAAGCCCGGUUCUAGCUCAGAAAAUCCUGCGGUCCUCUCCCAUUCACCGCCUGCACGACCGUGACCGCUCUCAGCUUCCCUUCAGAGGAGCUCCCGCAGCCACUCCACAAAAUGCUCCUCUUGCUUCUCCCCCAGGGUUCUGCUCUGGGUGCCAGGGUGAGAGUUGGAGCAGCUGCUCACCCACCUACGCUGGGAGGCCACCAUCAUACUGACUUUUGAGGUAGAAAGAAGGCAACAGUAAUUGGUGUCCCUACCGCUCAUGCUUAGAAGCUGCAGGGCUCGCAGCAUCGCAACAGCUUCUCAAGGCUCCGCUUCCAACCAGCUUCUCUUGGGCCACGCCAACCCCAAUCUGUCCCAUCCAGUAACGCUGCCACGUGCUGGCUCACCUGCCUGCCCACACGGCUGUUGGGAAGGGUGCGCAAGGGAACGCGGGGAACUAGGAGUGGGGUCUGUCGUCACGCACUGGAAGACUCAUCAA
rnacentral:lncRNA from 1 species